CCCUUCACAUGGUGCGGUGCUGGCAUCGUUGUUGGCGACCUCUGCGCGGUCGGAUCUGCAAAGGUUGCAGCUAGCGCGCCUACAGUACGUCAACAUGGUGCGGCAUCUCUUUUUGCAGAUCCCCAACUUGCUACGCCGCCGGCCGCCGCAUCGGAACUCCUUGCACCGCUUGCCUUUCUUCUCCCAUUCAACCGGCAAGCGUUCCCUGGCUCAAUAACGCAACUGGGGGAUGUCUGUCGCUAUCUCCAUAUAGGAAACGACAGGUGCGACAGAUUUAGAUUUUCAGGUGAUGCGUGGUCGGGAUCGCCGGAUCAAU